GGGCACGACACCGGAGAGGGAGCCUGAGAAACGGCUACCACAUCCAAGGAUGGCAGCAGGCGCGCAAAUUACCCAAUCCCGACACGGGGAGGUAGUGACAAUAAAUAACAAUACGGGGUUCUUUAGGAUCUCGUAAUUGGAAUGAGUACAAUUUAAAUCUCUUAACGAGGAACAAUUGGAGGGCAAGUCUGGUGCCAGCAGCCGCGGUAAUUCCAGCUCCAAUAGCGUAUAUUAAAGUUGUUGCAGUUAAAAAGCUCGUAGUUGAAUUUCGGGGUUAGUAGGUUGGUCAUGCCUCUGGUAUGUACUGGUCUCACUGAUUCCUCCUUCCUUAUGAACCGUAAUGCCAUUAAUUUGGUGUUGCGGGGAAUUUGGACUGUUACUUUGAAAAAAUUAGAGUGUUUAAAGCAAGCUAACGCUUGAAUACAUUAGCAUGGAAUAAUGAAAUAGGACGUUCGAUCUUAUUUUGUUGGUUUCUAGGAUUGACGUAAUGAUUAAUAGGGAUAGUUGGGGGCAUUAGUAUUCAAUUGUCAGAGGUGAAAUUCUUGGAUUUAUUGAAGACUAACUACUGCGAAAGCAUUUGCCAAGGAUGUUUUCAUUAAUCAAGAACGAAAGUUAGGGGAUCGAAGACGAUCAGAUACCGUCGUAGUCUUAACCAUAAACUAUGCCGACUAGGGAUCGGAUGAUGUUAAUUUUUUAAUGACUCAUUCGGCGCCUUACGGGAAACCAAAG
rnacentral:rRNA from 1 species